UACGAAGGGGGCUAGCGUUGCUCGGAAUCACUGGGCGUAAAGGGUGCGUAGGCGGGUCUUUAAGUCAGGGGUGAAAUCCUGGAGCUCAACUCCAGAACUGCCUUUGAUACUGAGGAUCUUGAGUUCGGGAGAGGUGAAUGGAACUGCGAGUGUAGAGGUGAAAUUCGUAGAUAUUCGCAAGAACACCAGUGGCGAAGGCGGCUCACUGGCCCGAUACUGACGCUGAGGCACGAAAGCGUGGGGAGCAAACAGG
rnacentral:rRNA from 1 species